rnacentral:snRNA from 1 species
AGAUGUGAGGACAAUCUGGCUGUGGUAUCUGUCACCCCACUGAUCACCAGGGCUGAUUUAGCUGGCUAGGCAGGUAUUGCCUUCUCCCCUUACUGCUCCAGGGUGUCCCUCCCAAAGCUAUAGGUGGGUUGAAGAGAACGGCCUUCCCCAUAGAGGAGGACUGUUCUUCAGUGAAGAGUACGUGAGCAGUCACUCUUCCCUGCUAGAACCUCCAACAAGCUCCCAAGAGCAUUGAAGGCUAGUGAUCAGCGAAGAGCAUCCCACUCUCAGCCUCAUACUUGCACCCAGACCCUGUCUGUGUCAAUGCCAA